rnacentral:rRNA from 1 species
UACGGGGGGGGUAAGCGUUGUUCGGAAUUACUGGGCGUAAAGGGCUCGUAGGCGGCCAACUAAGUCAUACGUGAAAUCCCUCAGCUUAACUGGGGAACUGCGUGUGAUACUGGAUGGCUUGGAUUUGGGAGAGGGAUGCGGAAUUCCAGGUGUAGCGGUGAAAUGCGUAGAUAUCUGGAGGAACACCGGUGGCGAAGGCGGCAUCCUGGACCAAUAUUGACGCUGAGGAGCGAAAGCCAGGGGAGCAA